GACGUAGGAUGCAAGCGUUGUCCGGAAUUAUCGGGCGUAAAGAGUUCGUAGGCGGUUACUUAAGUCUGGUGUUAAAGACGGGAGCUCAACUCCCGCAUGGCAUCGGAAACUGGGUAGCUAGAGUGUGGUAGAGGUCUCGGGAAUUCCAGGUGUAGCGGUGAAAUGCGUAGAUAUCUGGAGGAACACCGGUGGCGAAAGCGCGAGACUGGGCCAUAACUGACGCUGAGGAACGAAAGCCAGGGGAGCGAAAGGG
rnacentral:rRNA from 1 species